GAUGAACGCUGGCGGCGUGCCUAAUACAUGCAAGUCGAGCGCUGAAGCUUGGUGCUUGCACCGAGCGGAUGAGUUGCGAACGGGUGAGUAACGCGUAGGUAACCUGCCUCUUAGCGGGGGAUAACUAUUGGAAACGAUAGCUAAUACCGCAUAAAAGUCGAUAUCGCAUGAUAUUGAUUUGAAAGGUGCAAAUGCAUCACUAAGAGAUGGACCUGCGUUGUAUUAGCUAGUUGGUGAGGUAACGGCUCACCAAGGCGACGAUACAUAGCCGACCUGAGAGGGUGAUCGGCCACACUGGGACUGAGACACGGCCCAGACUCCUACGGGAGGCAGCAGUAGGGAAUCUUCGGCAAUGGGGGCAACCCUGACCGAGCAACGCCGCGUGAGUGAAGAAGGUUUUCGGAUCGUAAAGCUCUGUUGUAAGAGAAGAACGAGUGUGAGAGUGGAAAGUUCACACUGUGACGGUAACUUACCAGAAAGGGACGGCUAACUACGUG
rnacentral:rRNA from 1 species